AGGACAAGCACAAAGCACAGGUGCCACGUGUUUUUAAAAAAAAUUGGGGAAAGGGAGUAUAGCCGCGCGGCUAUACUAUUUAUAUAUUAAAAAAGGACGCGCACAAUGCACAGGUGCCACGUGUUUAAAAAAAAAUGGGGGAGAGUGAGUAUCGCCGCGCGGCUAUACUAUGUUUAAAUAGAAAAUUAAGGAAGAAUCUAGUAUAGCCGAUCGGCUGUACUAUUUAUAGACCCGCCCAUAGCCUAUGAGCCACGUGUCAAACAGGUACAGCCGGGCAGCUGUAGUAUUUAUAUUUCAAAAUUUUUAAAAACGAGUAUAGCCGCACGGCUAUACUAUUUUUUUAAAAAACAAUUAGGUGCUUUUUCAAAUACAUAUUAUUUUUAUUCAAUAAUAUGUUAGAAUUAUGUGUAUAACACGUGAAUUUUGUGUCUUAUUGAAAUUUUUGUAAAAAACAAGUGUAUUAAACAUGAGAAAUACGUGCGUACGUGUAUAAUACAUCAUUAAACGUGAAAGUGCGAAAAUCUUUAGAAAUCAAAAAGUAAAAAAUCAAAAAGGGACAGUAGAUACUCGAGUAAUGGCCUAAUAAUAACGGAUAGGGCUCUUGGGCUAUGGAGAAAUUUAAUUAGGACACCCAAAGGAUUUCAUAAAAGACUUAACAAGUAUAAAUUAAUUAUUUGGUGGACUUGUUCUUUAAUUUUUUUAUAUUAAAUAGUAAUUGAAAAAGGCUAAUAUAUUGCUCAAUUGCAUAUGUUUAAUUAAAGAAGAAGGCCAAAAAACAAAACUAAAGAAACUAAUUCUUUUAUAUUCAAAAGUGAAAAAAAAAAAAAAAAAAAAACUGUACCAGAUUAAAUCUUCCUUUUGAAUAGUAUAGCCGAGCGGCUAUACUAUUUAUAUAUUAAAAAAGGACAAGCACAAAGCACAGGUGCCACGUGUUUUUAAAAAAAAUUGGGGAAAGGGAGUAUAGCCGCGCGGCUAUACUAUUUAUAUAUUAAAAAAGGACGCGCACAAUGCACAGGUGCCACGUGUUUAAAAAAAAAUGGGGGGAGAGUGAGUAUAGCCGCGCGGCUAUACUAUGUUUAAAUAGAAAAUUAAGGAAGAAUCUAGUAUAGCCGAGCGGCUGUACUAUUUAUAGACCCGCCCAUAGCCUAUGAGCCACGUGUCAAACAGGUACAGCCGGGCAGCUGUACUAUUUAUAUUUCAAAAUUUUUAAAAACGAGUAUAGCCGCACGGCUAUACCAUUUUUUUAAAAAACAAUUAGGUGCUUUUUCAAAUACAUAUUAUUUUUAUUCAAUAAUAUGUUAGAAUUAUGUGUAUAACACGUGAAUUUUGUGUCUUAUUGAAAUUUUUGUAAAAAACAAGUGUAUUAAACAUGAGAAAUACGUGCGUACUUGUAUAAUACAUCAUUAAACGUGAAAGUGCGAAAAUCUUUAGAAAUCAAAAAGUAAAAAAUCAAAAAGGGACAGUAGAUACUCGAGUAAUGGCCUAAUAAUAACGGAUAGGGCUCUUGGGCUAUGGAGAAAUUUAAUUAGGACACCCAAAGGAUUUCAUAAAAGACUUAACAAGUACAAAUCAAUUAUUUGGUGGACUUUUUCUUUAAUUUUUUAUAUUAAAUAGUAAUUGAAAAAGGCUAAGAUAUUGCUCAAUUGCAUAUGUUUAAUUAAAGAAGAAGGCCAAAAAACAAAACUAAAGAAACUAAUUCUUUUAUAUUCAAAAGUGAAAAAAAAAAAAAAAAAAAAAACUGUACCAGAUUAAAUCUUCCUUUUGAAUAGUAUAGCCGCGCGGCUAUACUAUUUAUAUAUUAAAAAAGGACAAGCACAAAGCACAGGUGCCACGUGUUUUUAAAAAAAAUUGGGGAAAGGGAGUAUAGCCGCGCGGCUAUACUAUUUAUAUAUUAAAAAAGGACGCGCACAAUGCACAGGUGCCACGUGUUUAAAAAAAAAUGGGGGGAGAGUGAGUAUAGCCGCGCGGCUAUACUAUGUUUAAAUAGAAAAUUAAGGAAGAAUCUAGUAUAGCCGAGCGGCUGUACUAUUUAUAGACCCGCCCAUAGCCUAUGAGCCACGUGUCAAACAGGUACAGCCGGGCAGCUGUACUAUUUAUAUUUCAAAAUUUUUAAAAACGAGUAUAGCCGCACGGCUAUACCAUUUUUUUAAAAAACAAUUAGGUGCUUU
rnacentral:lncRNA from 1 species